AUAUAUCGCCAGUAAGCGAACGGACAUCUCAUCAGGAUGUACGGUACUUCAGAAAAAAAUCUCUGCAAAAGGGGAUGAAAAUGCUGAGUAACAAGUUCUCACAUUCACGAGUUGCUUCUUUGCGUAAAACCCAGGAACGGUGAAACGGAGUAAACGACGAGAUUCUUAGAAAAGAGUAACGUUAAAGCAACCCCAAGAGUAACUCGGUAAUAAACAAAGGCCAUUAAACUUACUCAGGCAUAGUUGUAUAUCUGUAAGUGCGGGAGGUAAAUUGUACAGGUGCAGGAAAGUUAAAUUUUUGUUUAAACUUGGUAAGGUAGAAGGUUUAUUUUUGUCACCCGCUUCGUUAAUUACAUUUGGUGUAGGUACAUUCGCAACGUACGUGCGAGGGAACCUGAAUCACAGGAGUCUCGGAAUGGCAAAAAUCUGAGUUGAGAUGAGAGAGAAAGAAAGAGAGAAAGAAAAAGAGAGAAAAGGGAAGAGAAUGAGAGAGGAAGGUGGUAAACGUUCGUACGAAUGGAUGGGAAAAGAAAGAAGAGAGAAAAAAUGCAAAGAGAUGCAAAGAGGUAGUCCGGCUUAUUUACAAGUUCUGCUUGCUUUCAAGAGCUCCCGCCAAAGAAAAAUACCGCUUCGAGUUUCUCGAUACAAGUAGGUAACAAGGAGCACGAAGGUUUGAGGAGUACUAAAUAAUCUACAGAAAAAGAGGGAAACGAAGAGAGAAAAGAAGAAGAAGAGAAGAAGGUUGAUUCUUCCGCAUCGAGAGAAAAAUCGUAAGGACGUCUGAAUCGGUUGUCCCUUGAGAGAAGGAAUAAUUCAUGGAUACUUCUCGUGCAUUCUUUCGUUUGUUCGAGCAUUUCCCUUCGGAUAGGACCGAAGGACGUACUUCCGCGCUUUAUUCCGCAGCUCGUUAAUUCAAUCUUCCUUCCUUCCUUCGUUGCCUCCCCACAAGAAUCCACAAGACAGGACAGGGGAUUGCCAUAAUCGUCACUGAACAACAAGGGGGUAAAACGUGCCGUCAGAAUUUUUCACCGUCGACAUUUAUGGUAAGCGCAUCUUGAGAUACGGUCCAUUGUACGAUCCUCUUUCUACUUUCCUGUCCCUCUCUCACUCUCCCUAUGUGUUUAUUUUGCGUAUAUGAAACAAGAUCGUAACUAAAGUUAAAAAACUAAAGUAACUAAAACUUAAAUGAGUUAUCAUAACGCUUAAACCGAGAAUAAUUAAUAUUAAUUAUGAUAAUCAUAAUAUAAUACUUACCGAGUAUAGAUGUAUAAUGUACAAACUCUAGAUUAUCAUUCAAUUUUAUUGCUUAAACAUUUUCUAUUCUAAUUUCGAGAUUUCGUUCCACCCGAGAAAGAAUUUUUUUGAUAAAUGUUUCCUCUUUGAUACUUAUAAGAAAUACGUACUCUAUAACGAUUCUAUCCUUCGAGAUCCGUCGACGAUAAAAUCACAUGAAUCCACUUUCUUCCGGUAAUUCUCUAAGAUUUUCAAACUUCUUCUUUCUUAAUAUGAGAAGCUUUAGACGUUAAAUUGAAGAGUUUACUUUUGAUAUCGAAAUAUAAUAUCAUAAACGCCCACCACGUUCAAACUCUCGAGUAAAAUCACCUACGUGACGGAAAACGAAGAUAUUAUGUGGAAAUCAAAAAAUUAAAAACUGCGAUAAGAAUUAAUAUUGUAUUCUCAACAUGAACAAAUAAGUUAAUGACCGAUCGUAAUAAUAAAUAUUUAAUAUAAGAAUAAACGACGAAAAAAAUUUCUUUAUCGGAGUAAAUCACCCUUGAAAAAAAUAACCUCCGUGAAAAUA